UACGGAGGUGGCAAGCGUUGCUCGGAUUUACUGGGUGUAAAGAGUUCGUAGGCGGUCCUGAAAGCCCGGCUUGAAAUGCUGUGGCUCAACCACAGUACGUGGUCGGGAACUUCAGGACUUGAGGGUGGCAGAGGCAAGCGGAAUUCCCGGUGUAAGGGUGAAAUCUGUAGAUAUCGGGAGGAACACCAGUGGCGAAGGCGGCUUGCUGGGCCAUUUCUGACGCUGAGGAACGAAAGCUAGGGGAGCAAACAGG
rnacentral:misc_RNA from 1 species